rnacentral:rRNA from 1 species
UACGUAGGUGGCAAGCGUUGUCCGGAUUUACUGGGCGUAAAGAGCGCGCAGGCGGUCGUUCAAGUCGCGUGUGAAAGCCCCCGGCUCAACUGGGGAGGGUCAUUCGAUACUGUUCGACUCGAAGGCAGGAGAGGGAAGUGGAAUUCCCGGUGUAGUGGUGAAAUGCGUAGAUAUCGGGAGGAACACCAGUGGCGAAGGCGGCUCACUGGUCCGGUACUGACGCUGAGGUGCGAAAGCGUGGGGAGCAAACAGGG